rfam:Anaerosporobacter mobilis DSM 15930 genome assembly, contig: EJ17DRAFT_scaffold00007.7
AAUUACAAAGAUAAAAACAUAUUCCGGUUGGUAGUCCGGAAGCAGCUUUAGCUGUCAGUAACCUGCCUCCUUGGUUGUCCGUUCUUUGGUAUCCGAUA